rnacentral:tRNA from 1 species
GCCCGACCAGCGGGUGCUCGAAACCCGGCUCGACGCUUGCGCCGCCGAGGCGGAAGCCGCGGGCAUCGGCGCGCCGGCGAUCGUCUGCGUCGGCCGGGCC